UACGAGUGCCCCAAGCGUUAUCCGGAAUUAUUGGGCGUAAAGGGUGUGUAGGUGGUUGUGUUAGUCUUCUGUUAAAGCUCCCGGCUCAACCGGGAACAUGCAGAGGAAACGGCACGACUAGAGGAUGUGAGAGGUAAGCGGAACUCAUGGUGUAGGGGUGAAAUCCGUUGAUAUCAUGGGGAACACCAAAAGCGAAGGCAGCUUACUGGCGCAUUCCUGACACUGAAACACGAAAGCGUGGGUAGCGAAUGGG
rnacentral:rRNA from 1 species